AUUGAACGCUGGCGGCAUGCCUUACACAUGCAAGUCGAACGGCAGCGGACCUUCGGGUGCCGGCGAGUGGCGAACGGGUGAGUAAUAUAUCGGAACGUACCUUUCAGUGGGGGAUAACGUAGCGAAAGUUACGCUAAUACCGCAUAUUCUGUGAGCAGGAAAGCAGGGGAUCGCAAGACCUUGCGCUGAUUGAGCGGCCGAUAUCAGAUUAGCUAGUUGGUGAGGUAAAGGCUCACCAAGGCGACGAUCUGUAGCGGGUCUGAGAGGAUGAUCCGCCACACUGGAACUGAGACACGGUCCAGACUCCUACGGGAGGCAGCAGUGGGGGAAUUUUGGACAAUGGGCGCAAGCCUGAUCCAGCCAUGCCGCGUGAGUGAAGAAGGCCUCGGUUGU
rnacentral:rRNA from 1 species